UGGUAGUAGCGAAUAUUCAAGAGAGAACCUUGAAGACUGAAGUGGAGAAGGGUUCCAUGUGAACAGCAGUGUACAUGGGUCAGUCGAUCAUAAGGUACGGAGGAAACUUGUUUUGAAGUUGGCAGAUGUACGAUAUAUGAUUGUGGUUGGAAGUUUGCAAGUCGCUUCGUGAAUCUGUUUGUCGGGGUCGUGAAUAUCAUUUCACUAUGACUACGCAUGUAUUGAUCAUAAAGUGCCAUGUUGAAGUGGAGACUUGGAGCGUUUGAUUUUACACGUCAGUGUAUGGUU
rnacentral:ncRNA from 1 species